GUGCCAGCCGCCGCGGUAAUACCGGCAGCUCAAGUGAUGACCGAUUUUAUUGGGCCUAAAGCGUUCGUAGCCGGCCGGGCAAGUUCGUCGGGAAAUCUACCAGCUCAACUGGUAGGCGUCCGGCGAAAACUGCACGGCUUGGGACAGGGAGACUCGAAGGGUACGUCCGGGGUAGGAGUGAAAUCCUGUAAUCCUGGACGGACCUCCGAUGGCGAAAGCACUUCGAGAGAACUGAUCCGACGGUCAGGAACGAAAGCUGGGGUCUCGAACCGGAUUAGAAACCCCGGUAGCC
rnacentral:rRNA from 1 species